GUGACAGCAGCCGCGGUAAUACGGAGGGUGCAAGCGUUAUCCGGAUUUAUUGGGUUUAAAGGGUCCGUAGGCGGACUUAUAAGUCAGUGGUGAAAGCCUGUCGCUUAACGAUAGAACUGCCAUUGAUACUGUAAGUCUUGAGUAUAUUUGAGGUAGCUGGAAUAAGUAGUGUAGCGGUGAAAUGCAUAGAUAUUACUUAGAACACCAAUUGCGAAGGCAGGUUACCAAGAUAUAACUGACGCUGAGGGACGAAAGCGUGGGUAGCGAACAGGAUUAGAUACCCUGGUAGUCC
rnacentral:rRNA from 1 species